rnacentral:rRNA from 1 species
CAAUAGCGUAUAUUAAAGUUGUUGCAGUUAAAAAGCUCGUAGUUGGAUUUCUGGACGGAGCGACCGGUCCGCUGCUGUGCAGUGUGUACAUGUGUCUGACUCUGUUCAUCCUUGCAGGGAAGCGCAUUUCGGCAUUCAGUUGUCGAGGCGGGGAACUGCAUCUUUUACUGUGAAAAAAUUAGAGUGUUCAAAGCGGGCUUACGCUUGAAUAUUUCAGCAUGGAAUAACACUAUAGGACUCCUGUCCUAUUUCGUUGGUCUCGGGACGGGAGUAAUGAUUAAGAGGAACAGUUGGGGGCAUUCGUAUUUCAUUGUCAGAGGUGAAAUUCUUGGAUUUAUGAAAGACGAACUUCUGCGAAAGCAUUUGCCAAGGAUGUUUUCAUUA